AAAAAAAAAGGGACGUGACGCGAUUAUUAGGCGUAAGCGCGCGCAGGCGGUUUCUUAAGUCUGAUGUGAAAGCCCCCGGCUCAACCGGGGAGGGUCAUUGGAAACUGGGGAACUUGAGUGCAGAAGAGGAGAGUGGAAUUCCACGUGUAGCGGUGAAAUGCGUAGAGAUGUGGAGGAACACCAGUGGCGAAGGCGACUCUCUGGUCUGUAACUGACGCUGAGGCGCGAAAGCGUGGGGAGCGAACAGGAUUAGAUACCCUGGUAGUCCACGCCGUAAACGAUGAGUGCUAAGUGUUAGAGGGUUUCCGCCCUUUAGUGCUGCAGCAAACGCAUUAAGCACUCCGCCUGGGGAGUACGGUCGCAAGACUGAAACUCAAAGGAAUUGACGGGGGCCCGCACAAGCGGUGGAGCAUGUGGUUUAAUUCGAAGCAACGCGAAGAACCUUACCAGGUCUUGACAUCCUCUGACAACCCUAGAGAUAGGGCUUCCCCUUCGGGGGCAGAGUGACAGGUGGUGCAUGGUUGUCGUCAGCUCGUGUCGUGAGAUGUUGGGUUAAGUCCCGCAACGAGCGCAACCCUUGAUCUUAGUUGCCAGCAUUCAGUUGGGCACUCUAAGGUGACUGCCGGUGACAAACCGGAGGAAGGUGGGGAUGACGUCAAAUCAUCAUGCCCCUUAUGACCUGGGCUACACACGUGCUACAAUGGGCAGAACAAAAGGGCAGCGAAGCCGCGAGGCUAAGCCCAAUCCCACAAAUCUGUUCUCAGUUCGGAUCGCAGUCUGCACUCGACUGCGUGAAGCUGGAAUCGCUAGUAUCGCGGAUCAGCCAUGCCCGCGGUGAAAUACGUUCCCGGCCUUAAG
rnacentral:rRNA from 1 species